UACGGGGGGGAGCAAGCGUUGUUCGGAUUUACUGGGCGUAAAGGGCGCGUAGGCGGCCAGCGCAAGUCAGUUGUGAAAUCUCCGGGCUUAACUCGGAACGGUCAACUGAUACUGGUAGUCUCGAGUCCGGCAGAGGUGAGUGGAAUUCCGAGUGUAGAGGUGAAAUUCGUAGAUAUUCGGAGGAACACCAGUGGCGAAGGCGGCUCACUGGUCCGGUACUGACGCUGAGGUGCGAAAGCGUGGGGAGCAAACAGG
rnacentral:rRNA from 1 species